rnacentral:lncRNA from 1 species
ACGAGGAGUGCAGAGGAGGUGCUGAUGAUUGCGGGGAGAGCUCUGAGAGCCCGAGAAAGAUGGGGAAACUGAAGCCCUAGAGGAAAAGAAGACUAAAUGUAUUACCAUCUGACCCACUUCCUGGCCAGCCUGUUCACCUGUCUGCUGUUCUUCAUUGAACAAGAGAAGGAAUCACAAUUGGUCCAUGACAGUCACGGUCAUCUCAUUCCUCUUGCCAGUGGCAGGUGUAUGUGUGAGUUUGCAGCUCAAUCCUGGCCAAGGGGAUCCAAGGACUGCUGAAGAGGCAUGUCUGCACAUGUCACCUAGAACAUCUCCAGCCAUCAUGUGAUCUCUGGGGGAGGCAUUCCCAACUCUCUGAGAGAAGCAGACCAGAAAGAUGGAAAGAAAGCACCUGGCUCCAGGAUGAUGACAUUGAGCCGAUGAAUUAACCACCUUUGUGCUGCUCUAACCUUCAGAGUUCACCUUAACAUGAGAAAAUAAAACCCUUAUUGCUUA